UACGUAGGGGGCAAGCGUUAUCCGGAUUUACUGGGUGUAAAGGGAGCGUAGAUGGCAUAGCAAGUCAGAUGUGAAAACCCAGGGCUUAACCCUGGGACUGCAUUUGAAACUGUCAGGCUGGAGUGCAGGAGAGGUAAGUGGAAUUCCUAGUGUAGCGGUGAAAUGCGUAGAUAUUAGGAGGAACACCAGUGGCGAAGGCGGCUUACUGGACUGUAACUGACAUUGAUGCUCGAAAGCGUGGGGAGCAAACAGG
rnacentral:rRNA from 1 species